CCCCGCAAUGCCUUGUUCCGUCAAUACCAGACGCUGCUUGCGAUGAACGGGGCCACUUUGAAGAUUUCAGACCCGGCAUUGAGAUGGAUUGGAAUC
rnacentral:ribozyme from 1 species